GACAGCAGUCGCCACGGGAAGACAGAAGAUGCAAGCGUUAUCCGGAAUGAUUGGGCGUAAAGCGUCUGUAGGUGGCUUUUCAAGUCCACCGUCAAAUCCCAGGGCUCAACCCUGGACAGGCGGUGGAAACUACCAAGCCGGAGUACGGUAGGGGCAGAGGGAAUUUCCGGUGGAGCGGUGAAAUGCGUUGAGAUCGGAAAAAACACCAACGGCGAAAGCACUCUGCUGGGCCGACACUGACACUGAGAGACGAAAGCUAGGGGAGCAAAUGGGAUUAGAUACCCGCGUAGUCCCUGUCUCUUAUAC
rnacentral:rRNA from 1 species